AGAGUCUACGAUGGGUUGCAAAGGUCUGCAGUAAGUGUUGCCCUGAGAACAACAUUCAGAAGGCACGUGAUCGCCUCAGAGCAGGGUUUCUCAACAUCAGCGCUAUUGCCAGUUAGGUCGGCAUUUGUUGCUGCUUCCAAAAUAUGUAACUAUCUGAGUAGAACUGAAGAAAAAAGAUCCCAGGAAUUCAAGUACAGUGUGCAGUGGCAUCAUCAUGGUUGACUGCAACCUCAAACUCCUGGGCUCAAGUGAUCCUCCUUCAUCAGCCUCCCAAGUAGCUCAGACCACAGGGCUUAGGGCUUGGCACUCCCAGUUCUGCAGGUGGGCAGACCAGGUGGCCAGGCCUCCAGUCUCUUCUUCUUGUGCCCCUGACCAAGCUUACAUGGAUACAAAUCUCCAGUGAAAAGAAAUUUAAAUGCUAGAGCAUCAUGAGGCUUGAAUGUUGUCUUUACUGGGUCAGCAAAUUGGAAGAAAUGAUACAGAACAGCGAGUGGAAGCCUUCAUAUUUGGAUGAUUGCUUGAUAUUUUCAUUUUAUUCAAAUUCUUAGGAGCUGUUGGGAAUAUUAAGCAUGGAAACAAAGCUUUGGGGGAUCAUUAAUAAAUACUGAUGCU